AUGCUCAACUCAGACAGUGCUGACGUUGUUUUAUAUUCUCUACGUCAGAAGUACCGAGACACUGACAAGUUGAUAGUUGCCAGAUGGGUGACGACCAAGAUCCGUGAUGGAAAUAUGGAUUCCAAUGUGCUAAAUUGGUUCACGAGAUCAGAGAGCCCCUCUACACCCAAGAAUCCCAUUGUGGAAUUGAUAGACAGCGAUGAUGAUGCGUUUGACAGGAUUGCUGGCAUGGGAAGAGUCACCAGGAGCGCUGCUGCCAAGGGUUUAUCCCCACUUGCUGGAAUAGUGGCCCGUAGAGCUGGUCGUGCUAGGAAGGAUCCUGCUUUGGAUUCUGACAAUGUUACAAGCACGAAGCGUGCACCCGGAGCUCCUAUAAAGUUUUGCUCCCCUGUGCAGCAGCUUCACCCUCAUAAAUUCCCUCACCUGGACAAGGCUCGCAAGUUGUAUAAUCUGUUGCUUAGCGAUGAAGCAUGUGAGAAGAAUACAUUCUCAAUGAUACCUCAGCUCGAUGGUAGUGUAACCAGCUUCACUGGGAAACGCAUCUGGGAAGUUUUUGCGCCUGGGCAAAUGAUGGAGGGUGAUGUAAUGGACUUCCUCAUUGAUGAUUGGAAGAAAGAUCCCGAUAGAAAUGUUGAUUUUGCGUCUGGGAAAAGGGUAUUGCUGAGUCCAUAUUUCAUGAUGAUCAUGAUGCCUCUAUUCAAGCCUAUGGUUUUAUCAAAGGAUAAGAAAGUGAACCACUUUUCUUUAUAUGUCAUGAAUCGGUACCGAAGUAGCGUCGACAUCCUUGACUCUUUACCUUAUCCGAAGAACCAUCGUGCUUCAAAGAACACCUAUCAUAAAGACUGCGAGAAGAUUAUCUCCAGGAUGGUCCAAGUAAUGAAGUCUUUUUAUGGUGAUGCUCAGUACAAUGCGAGCAAGCAGCCCAAAUGGGAGCUUUUUGCAAACAAACCAAUGUUUGUGAAGGUUCCACUUUCAAGGGGCGAAUGA
rnacentral:rRNA from 1 species